rnacentral:rRNA from 2 species
CGAACUCUGUGUAUUGAUUGGUGCUUGCAUCAUGAUUUACAUUUGAGUGAGUGGCGAACUGGUGAGUAACACGUGGGAAACCUGCCCAGAAGCGGGGGAUAACACCUGGAAACAGAUGCUAAUACCGCAUAACAACUUGGACCGCAUGGUCCGAGUUUGAAAGAUGGCUUCGGCUAUCACUUUUGGAUGGUCCCGCGGCGUAUUAGCUAGAUGGUGGGGUAACGGCUCACCAUGGCAAUGAUACGUAGCCGACCUGAGAGGGUAAUCGGCCACAUUGGGACUGAGACACGGCCCAAACUCCUACGGGAGGCAGCAGUAGGGAAUCUUCCACAAUGGACGAAAGUCUGAUGGAGCAACGCCGCGUGAGUGAAGAAGGGUUUCGGCUCGUAAAACUCUGUUGUUAAAGAAGAACAUAUCUGAGAGUAACUGUUCAGGUAUUGACGGUAUUUAACCAGAAAGCCACGGCUAACUACGUGCCAGCAGCCGCGGUAAUACGUAGGUGGCAAGCGUUGUCCGGAUUUAUUGGGCGUAAAGCGAGCGCAGGCGGUUUUUUAAGUCUGAUGUGAAAGCCUUCGGCUCAACCGAAGAAGUGCAUCGGAAACUGGGAAACUUGAGUGCAGAAGAGGACAGUGGAACUCCAUGUGUAGCGGUGAAAUGCGUAGAUAUAUGGAAGAACACCAGUGGCGAAGGCGGCUGUCUGGUCUGUAACUGACGCUGAGGCUCGAAAGUAUGGGUAGCAAACAGGAUUAGAUACCCUGGUAGUCCAUACCGUAAACGAUGAAUGCUAAGUGUUGGAGGGUUUCCGCCCUUCAGUGCUGCAGCUAACGCAUUAAGCAUUCCGCCUGGGGAGUACGGCCGCAAGGCUGAAACUCAAAGGAAUUGACGGGGGCCCGCACAAGCGGUGGAGCAUGUGGUUUAAUUCGAAGCUACGCGAAGAACCUUACCAGGUCUUGACAUACUAUGCAAAUCUAAGAGAUUAGACGUUCCCUUCGGGGACAUGGAUACAGGUGGUGCAUGGUUGUCGUCAGCUCGUGUCGUGAGAUGUUGGGUUAAGUCCCGCAACGAGCGCAACCCUUAUUAUCAGUUGCCAGCAUUAAGUUGGGCACUCUGGUGAGACUGCCGGUGACAAACCGGAGGAAGGUGGGGAUGACGUCAAAUCAUCAUGCCCCUUAUGACCUGGGCUACACACGUGCUACAAUGGAUGGUACAACGAGUUGCGAACUCGCGAGAGUAAGCUAAUCUCUUAAAGCCAUUCUCAGUUCGGAUUGUAGGCUGCAACUCGCCUACAUGAAGUCGGAAUCGCUAGUAAUCGCGGAUCAGCAUGCCGCGGUGAAUACGUUCCCGGGCCUUGUACACACCGCCCGUCACACCAUGAGAGUUUGUAACACCCAAAGUCGGUGGGGUAACCUUUUAG